rnacentral:rRNA from 1 species
UGCCAGCCGCCGCGGUAAUACGGAGGGUGCAAGCGUUGUCCGGAUUUAUUGGGUUUAAAGGGUGCGUAGGCGGAUUAUUAAGUCAGUGGUGAAAGUUUGCGGCUCAACCGUAAAAGUGCCAUUGAUACUGGUAGUCUUGAGUACAGUAGAGGUAGGCGGAAUUUAUGGUGUAGCGGUGAAAUGCAUAGAUACCAUAAAGAACACCGAUAGCGAAGGCAGCUUACUAUACUGAGACUGACGCUGAGGCACGAAAGCGUGGGGAGCGAACAGGAUUAGAUA